rnacentral:rRNA from 1 species
AUACGGAGGAUCCGAGCGUUAUCCGGAUUUAUUGGGUUUAAAGGGUGCGCAGGCGGGAGAUUAAGUCGGCGGUGAAAUUUUGCAGCUCAACUGUAAAAGUGCCCUCGAAACUGGGUUUCUUUCGUGUAGAUGAAGGAGGCGGAAUUUGUGGUGGCGCGGGGGAAUGCAUAGAUAUCACGAGGAACUCCGAUUGCGCAGGCAGCUUACUAAACUACUACUGACGCUCAGGCACGAAGGCGUGGGGAUCAAACAGGAUUAGAUACCCUGGUAGUCCACGCAGUAAACGAUGAUUACUAGCUGUUUGCGAUACAAUGUAAGCGGCUGAGCGAAAGCGUUAAGUAAUCCACCUGGGGAGUACGUUCGCAAGAAUGAAACUCAAAUGAAUUGACGGGG